GCCGCUCGGAACUUUGCACACCUCUACGUGGUGGGCGGCAGGCAACACAGUAUAAGAUAAUGUGGCUAAGAUGUAGAG
rnacentral:ribozyme from 1 species